UCGUAUGACCGUCACACAAGUUACCUUUAGAGGACAUUUUACGGUGUCAAGAAAACUCAGUCAGUCGUGAGAAAACCGUGGAAAUACACCUUCAAACAUUGUUCGUUAAAGUGUUAACUAGAAAAUUGAGUGUUAUACAUACUACAAAGUUACAAACAGAAUAAGUAAAGUGUUAUGGUUUAAAGUUAGCUAGCUGUCAUGUGCUGCUACUGUAGCUGCGGUGCGUGCGGGCGCUGCCUGCGCUGCCUGCUGUGUGUGACGCUGUGCGUCGCGCUGCUGCGCAUGUGCGGCUGCGAGGUCGAGGGCUGCGAUGAUGAUGAAUAGAUGAUGUGAUCAUA